AGUGAACGCUGGCGGUAGGCCUAACACAUGCAAGUCGAACGGCAGCACAGUAAGAGCUUGCUCUUACGGGUGGCGAGUGGCGGACGGGUGAGGAAUACAUCGGAAUCUACUAUUUCGUGGGGGAUAACGUAGGGAAACUUACGCUAAUACCGCAUACGACCUACGGGUGAAAGCAGGGGAUCUUCGGACCUUGCGCGAUUGAAUGAGCCGAUGUCGGAUUAGCUAGUUGGCGGGGUAAAGGCCCACCAAGGCGACGAUCCGUAGCUGGUCUGAGAGGAUGAACAGCCACACUGGAAAAGGGACAAGGUCCAGACUCCUACGGGAGGGAGCAGUGGGGAAUAUUGGACAAUGGGCGCAAGCCUGAUCCAGCCAUACCGCGUGGGUGAAGAAGGCCUUCGGGCUGUAAAGCCCUUUUGUUGGGAAAGAAAAGCAGCAGGUUAAUACCCCGCUGUUCUGACGGUACCCAAAGAAUAAGCACCGGCUAACUUCGUG
rnacentral:rRNA from 1 species